rnacentral:tRNA from 1 species
CGCGGGGUGGAGCAGUUCGGUAGCUCGUCGGGCUCAUAACCCGAAGGUUGCAGGUUCAAAUCCUGUCCCCGCAACCA